CGUAGGGAGCAAGCGUUGUUCGGAUUUACUGGGCGUAAAGGGCGCGUAGGCGGCAAUUCAAGUCACUUGUGUAAUCUCCGGGCUUAACUCGGAACGGUCAAGUGAUACUGCUUUGCUAGAGUGCGGAAGGGGCAAUCGGAAUUCUCGGUGUAGCGGUGAAAUGCGUAGAUAUCGAGAGGAACACCUGAGGUGAAGACGGGUUGCUGGGCCGACACUGACGCUGACAGCGCGAAAGCCAGGGGAGCAAACGGGAUUAGAUACCCCGGUAGUCCUGGCCCUAAACGAUGAAUACUUGGUGUCUGGAGUUAUUAGUGCUCCGGGUGCCGUCGCUAACGUUUUUAGUAUUCCGCCUGGGGAUACGCUCGCAAGAGUG
rnacentral:rRNA from 1 species